CUCCUACGGGAGGCAGCAGUGGGGAAUAUUGGACAAUGGGCGAAAGCCUGAUCCAGCAAUGCCGCGUGAGUGAUGAAGGCCUUAGGGUUGUAAAGCUCUUUUACCCGGGAUGAUAAUGACAGUACCGGGAGAAUAAGCUCCUUGCUAACUCCGUGCCAGCAGCCGCGGUAAUACGGAGGGAGCUAGCGUUAUUCGGAAUUACUGGGCGUAAAGCGCACGUAGGCGGCUUUGUAAGUAAGAGGUGAAAGCCCAGAGCUCAACUCUGGAAUUGCCUUUUAGACUGCAUCGCUUGAAUCAUGGAGAGGUCAGUGGAAUUCCGAGUGUAGAGGUGAAAUUCGUAGAUAUUCGGAAGAACACCAGUGGCGAAGGCGGCUGACUGGACAUGUAUUGACGCUGAGGUGCGAAAGCGUGGGGAGGCAAACAGGAUUAGAUACCCUGGUAGUCCACGCCGUAAACGAUGAUAACUAGCUGUCCGGACACUUGGUGGUUUGGGUGGCGCAACUAACGCAUUAAGUUAUCCGCCUGGGAGUACGGGCCGAAGGGUUAAGACUUCAAAUGAAUUGACGGGGGCCUGCACAAGCGGUGGAGCAUGUGGGUUAAUUCGAAGCAACGCGCAGAACCUUACCAGCGUUUGACAUGGCAGGACGACUUCCAGAGAUGGAUUUCUUCCCUUCGGGGACCUGCACAUAGGUGCUGCAUGCCUGUCGUCAGCUCGUGUCGUAAGAUGUUGGGUUAAGUCCCGCAACGAGCGCAACCCUCGCCUUUAGUUGCCAUCAUUUAGUUGGGCACUUUAAAGGAACCGCCGGUGAUAAGCCGGAGGAAGGUGGGGAUGACGUCAAGUCCUCAUGGCCCUUACGCGCUGGGCUACACACGUGCUACAAUGUCGGUGACAGUGGGCAGCAAGCACGCGAGUGUGAGCUAAUCUCCAAAAACCGUCUCAGUUCGGAUUGUUCUCUGCAACUCGAGAGCAUGAAGGCGGAAUCGCUAGUAAUCGCGGAUCAGCAUGCCGCGGUGAAUACGUUCCCGGGCCUUGUACACACCG
rnacentral:rRNA from 1 species